rnacentral:rRNA from 1 species
AUUGAACGCUGGCGGCAUGCCUUACACAUGCAAGUCGAACGGUAACAGGUCUUCGGAUGCUGACGAGUGGCGAACGGGUGAGUAAUACAUCGGAACGUGCCCGAUCGUGGGGGAUAACGCAGCGAAAGCUGUGCUAAUACCGCAUACGAUCUACGGAUGAAAGCGGGGGAUCGCAAGACCUCGCGCGGACGGAGCGGCCGAUGGCAGAUUAGGUAGUUGGUGGGAUAAAAGCUUACCAAGCCGACGAUCUGUAGCUGGUCUGAGAGGACGACCAGCCACACUGGGACUGAGACACGGCCCAGACUCCUACGGGAGGCAGCAGUGGGGAAUUUUGGACAAUGGGGGAAACCCUGAUCCAGCCAUGCCGCGUGCAGGAUGAAGGCCU